AUGGAGCAGUUCCACCACGGCCACCACGUGCGGCUGCGGAGCCGCGAGCUCGGCACGUACCUGCACGCCGACGGGGACGGGCAAGGCGUCUCCCUCCACCACCGCCGGGCGUCGAUGAACGCGGCUUGGGCGGUGCACUUGUACCAGCCCCCCCACGCGCGGGUGCCGUUCCUGCUCCUCCACAGCGCCGCCUACGGCCGGUACCUCGCCGCCACGGCCGCGCCGGCGCCGCUAGGCCACCGUGGGCACCGCGUGGAGCAGCGCAGCUACAACCAUCCUGAGGAGGAGGCAAUGUUUUGGCUGGCCGUACGGACGGAAUUCGGGGACGACGUCCUGCUCCAACACUUCAACGGCGGCAGCCUCCGCGCCAACGGGAAGUACCUCCCCUGGAACAACGGCGCCAGCGUCGGCUACAUCAACGGCAUCCACGACAUGAGCACGAUGAUGCACUGGGUCGUGGAGCCCAUCCUCGCCAGGGAGACCAUGCCUCCCCUUCCACGUUCGACUGGGCUUACCCUCCCCACCGCCACCAUGUUGCUAUCGCGGGAGAUCGUGUACAUUUGGCGGGACAUCCACGGGGACCCCAUCACCGCCGGCUGGCACAUGUUCAGGGGGAGAUCCGUCUUCCGCCUGAGGGAGGAGCUGGCCAGGCUGCUGAAUGCCGUCCAAGUCUUGGGCGUCGCCGACCUCGUCAUGUGCCUCCCCACACGUGAUGGCCGGCUUUUCCCACUCCUCGUCGACCUGCCCAGCAACCGCGAGAGCUUCCACAUCGUCGUCGUCGUCGCCGGGACGCCU
rnacentral:rRNA from 1 species